rnacentral:sRNA from 1 species
GCUGGGCAGGGUGGUGCACACCUGUAAUCCCAGCAGCUCAGGAGGCUAAGACAGGAGGAUCAUGAGUUCAAAGCCAGCCUUAGCUACUUAGUGAGGCCCUAAGGAACUUAGUGAGACCCUGUCUCAA